rnacentral:lncRNA from 1 species
GCCAUCUUGUAACGGCGAAUGUGGGGGCGGCUUCCCACACCCCUGCUCUGUCUACAUUUAAAUUUGAAACACGAAACAUCCAUUGUCUUCACUUGAUAUACUCUCUGGGCGUUGCUUCACGGACACAGCAUAGAAUUCUCUGCUGCAUCCUGAGAAAGAACUGGCCUUCCCUGCAUUAGGGGCCUUAUGAGGGGAACAUUUCUUACAACUCUCACAUACAAACCACGCUCUGAUUCCGUUUGGGGAUGAGAAGAAACUGGGCCUUUUGAAGCCAGGCACACCUGUGCCUAUGCUGUGACUUGAGCAGCUGAACUGCAGGUAUGAUGGUGAGCGAUCUUCUGAAGAAUAAGAACAGGGACAGUGCGUUAAAGAUAACAGAACAGCAAUACAGAAGCUGGGACACCAGGGACAGCAUCCACCUGAGAGCCACUUUCUACCUCAGAUUCUUCCUGGAGAAGGAAACUACAGCCAGCCUUCCACGCCCACAAAUUCUGCCUCUGUGGAUUCAGCCAACUGAGCACCCAAAGUAUUUGAAAAGAAAAUGUGGGUAACUCUUCCAAGCCAUUACUGCUCAAUAAGACCAACACUUAUUUAUAGUUUUCAUAUCAUAGUGACUAUUGCAUGCAAUAUAGAGGUGAUCAAAUACACAGGAGGAUUGCUUAGGUUAUGUGCAUAAAUGUCACCAUUUUUAUAAAGCGACUUCAGUACAUCUUGGUUCUAAUACCCACAUGAACCAAUCCCCUGAGUUGCUGCCAUGACUGUAUUGAAAUACAGCAUUGGAAUUAGGCUCUCUGAUGCCUGCAAGCGAACCUGCAUCUUAAUUAAUAGUCUCGACAUUCUGGGUAAGCUCAGGGCAACUUGUAGAUUUCUCAAACUAACCCUUCCCUUACUCUGCAAGUCAAUGGAAGAGGCAUUCUACACAGAGGGAACAGAGUGUCCGAGGCCACAAAGACGUGAGGAUGCCAAAUACAUUGGACCUCACAGCAUAGGAAUAAGAAAGCUCACUUUCAGCAGGUAGAGAGGUGAGGGUCAAUAUGGAGAGGUAGGUAGGCAUCAGUCUCAAGAUGACUUGAAACUAGGAACAGGCAACUUCCCCCAGACCCAUUGGUGAUCUCUUUUGGCAGCUACCUUGAAAUCUCACCAAUAAAAGUCCAGCUUAGACUGUCAGAGUUUUUGUGAUAGCCCCAGAAGAUAAAAAGAAAGGCACGUGCAUGCAGAAUCCCAUUAUCACAGUGCUUCCACGAGAGCCUGGAAGCCGAGCAAGUCUUCAAAGGCAGGGAUGUGGGGGCCCCUUGGUCCAGUUGGAUCAGACCUGGAUAGAAAUGGUUCCUGUUCUGUUCUACCGUCUUAGCUGUACAAGCGCUGGCUUCACUCAGUUGCCUGGGGCAGGUUGUCAAUGUUAAACAUCUGAGUUUGAAAUGUAAAGUGUUUAAAUUUGGAACAAGGUAGAAUAAAAAGACCUCUGCAGGGAAUGAAUACAUUCUAGAUAUUAUGGGGAGUGGUUUUAUCUCCUUUUCCAAUUUCCCCACCUCCAGCUUUCAAAUACUGUACCCCAGAAUGUAAUUGCAUUUAGAGAUUGGGAGUUAAUUAAGAAGAAAGCCCACGAGUGUGUAGUCUAAGUCCAUAUUUCUACGCUCUCUGGUCGAGUAAACUGGACAAGCCGAGAGUCUUAAAAGUCACUCAUGAGGCAAAAGAGUUUCAAGGAAGCUCUCCUCCUGGAGUCUAGCGUUCCCUGCCCAUACAGUAAUUUUUCAUUCCCGCGUUCCAUUCCCGAGUUAGUCUAGUGUAUGGAUCCACGUGCUCUCUUUCAAUAUUUUCCUAUCAUAAGUGCCUUUUAAGAUUGAAUUCUGACAUAGCUAAAGCCAUCCGCCAGUGUUCCAACAGUCCUAGUUCGUCCUUAGCAAGACCUUGGGCUUGGAAUUCAGUACUGCCCCUGGUAUUACACUAUCUCUUUGAGUAAAAGUUAGGUCACUGUCCUUCACAGGAAUUUACCAUCACUAAGGAAGAAAGAAGUUUCUGACCGUAGGAGAAACCAGAAUAGAUAUUUAGAAUUAUAGCUGAGUUACACCUAUAUACAGGAAUUUACAAUGGUUUAGGAAGUAGAUCCGGCUGUGGUUUUAGAGUAUUGCAUUAUUCAUGAGAUGGUUAGCUAGAAUGGAACUCCCUAGUUAGAACCAUGACUUGGGUGUGAAAGCCCUUGCACUAGGAGUGAAAAGUUCUCACACCUGGCUUCUAAGACUAUAGCUGACCUUAGACAGGGCUGACUCUGUCUCAGUUAUUUUAUUGCCCAGUUCCUGCCAGUCUUUGCAUUUUCAUUUCCUCUGUUCUGUGUAAGAGUCAUUAAGCAUCCAGUUACCUCAUUUGUACCUUGUGGGUAUGUCACCCAACUACCUUGUAGUCUUCUGCAUAAAAAGUCUGAUGUUCGAUUUGAAAAAUUACAUUCAGAUUCCAC